ensembl:lncRNA
UCAACAGCUUGUUCAGCAAGACUGAUCAUUGGGAUUAUCUGUCUGCUUCACCUUGAGUUCUGUGAAACAUACUUGUCUUGACUGUAUCGACAAACUUAUCUUGAGUGCAGCCAAGGGAGAUACGUACAUUAGACUAUUGCUUCUAGAACUUCUAUGAAUGAAGACAAAUAUUCCUCAGACAUCUAUCACAUUUCCUAAGGUUUCCAUAAGGUAGAGUUCCUGCCAAGUUCAUUCCUCCUAUCCGCACUCUAGUAACAACCUGCUUUUUAUAUCUUUGUUAAUCUUCUUAGCCCUCAUGCUCUUCAGGAAAGGAGGUGUUGGGGAACCAUUCCAGUUGAGUGUCAUUACGAUUCUCCUCCUUCAGGAUUAUUUGAUGACACGUUUCCUUGCUUCCAAAGCUAUGGAAGCCAACAGAACAUAUGGUUGAUAAUUUAUAAUAAACCACUGGCAGUCUGCCUCUACGGAUGCUUUAGCACGUUGUGAGGACUUGAUAGUUUGCAACAUUUCCUUCUCAGACAAAUAAUUUCCUGCUAGUUAGCACUGGCUGUGUUGACAGCUGCAAGUUUAUAUGGGGAAAAAGAAGCAUUUACAUGUAAUGAAUAGUAGUAAAAUGCCUGUGUAAUACAGUACUGGGAGGUAUGAAAGCUUGCAGUAAGAGCUGAACUACUGGCCUUCUUGAGACGGCAAGAGCUUUCUUUCAUCAUAAAGCACAAGUUGAUUCCUUCAUUCAUGCAAGUCUGUCUUUGGGAUAGAGUUAGUCUAGUUUCUGAGCUUAAAACUAGAAAACUAUUUCUCCAGGGGCACAGAUGACAUAAAGUUUCUGAUCAAGUCACCGUUUCUUGCCUGUAAGCCACUCCUUACUGCAUUGAGUUAAGGCAAGUGGUUGCUGGUUUUCUUGACGGAGACUGUGAUGGGUGGAGGGCUAUCUGAAAUGUGCCAUGUGUGUAGGAAGGGAUCUAUCUGAAGUGAGAUAGAAAUCAUGCCACAUGCACCCACAGAAAACAUCUGUAUUACUCCAUCCACAGAUACUUCAGUCCUUUCAAAUGUUCUUAAACCUGUAUUUUCCCUUUGCCUUUCUUUUCAGUGUUUCUACCUCUUCAAAUAGUCAAAAUAUGUUUGAGUCAUUUCUCCCACUGAAAAAAAAGUAAACAGCUGGCCUGGAGGCAGAACUAGCUGCCUAAAAAGAGAGGACUAGAUUCACUUGAGGUGCCGCAGGUUAUCAGGGUGCUAUAGGAUAUCUCUACCAAGAUGAAAAGUAUAGCACAGGUACUACAUAAGGUUUACUCUGUUCUAUGUGGGCAUCUGGAAUACAGGUAGAAGAGUCUGUUGUGACUAAAACUAUUCAGACAAUGCGAUUGAAGAUGUGAAAUAUAGCUCUGUUUGUCUACUGAACACUGUAGCUCUCAAGGCUACUUUGAUCUUGCUCUUACAAAUUCCUCUUGAGGGCCCCAAACUUGUAUUUUUGCUGUUCCUGUACACCCAGUGGUAUAAUGUGGAUAGUUAACAGAGAACAGUUACUUCUUAUUUCUCAGCAAUGUGAUACAAGACUGACUUAUAGAGAGCCAGAGGUACACCCUAGCAAGGUCUCAGACAGAAGAAUGAAUGCAGAAAAAAUAUUAUUCUGUUUAUCAUACCUAGUUCAGGUGGUUCCCACUUCCAGUUGAUCCCAUCCAUUCAUUCCUGCUUCUGUCAAAUUAUCUGGGUUUUGAAAAUGACUUCUCCUUGAAACGCUUGCUUAUUUUUAUGAUCUGGGUUAGUCCAUGCUUCUGAAUGAAGGUACAGUUUUAUGAGCAAGUAAAUCCACAGAAAGGAGGGAAUGGUGACCUCUGAUAGUGGGGAGGGAAAGGCAAAGGAGGACAGAGAAGCAUAUCUUAGUGGAGGAAAGCUGAGGGCAGGAGCUGGUCACUAUCCUUGAGCACUAUUGUCAGAGAUCCAGUCCUUCAGAUUAUGUGGGAUGCCAACAGUUCAUUUGUUGACGUGAAUUAGCUGGGAACAGUUUGGUGUUUUCUUGACUAUUAUUCAAAUAUGCAAAGCAUUAUACAGAUCAAACACAGACAAUUAGCUUUUACCUGAAAAGAUUUCUCAAUUUAUUAAUCAGGUCUCUCCAAAAGUAAUGCCUCCUAUUUAUUUCAUAGAAACUACCACAGAUACGAAGAGCACAGUAGCACUAUUUGAUAGAGCAAAUAAUUCUGAGCUACAAAACACUAUUUUUCAAGAUUGUCGCCACCAUGAGCUGUGCAUUUUUACCAGUGAUGAACAUGAGUCUUCAUGCUGCACUCAGAAAAAUCUGCACCUGCAGAAGUGACCCACUGUCACUUUUGCCGAAACACACUCUCAUAACAGAAUGAACCUUUGAUUCACUUUGCUUUCUGAGAACAAAAUUGGUAAAGGUCUCUGGGACGUAGCAUACAGUGACUUACACUGAAAGUGAACACCUGAUUUCUUCAGGAUUCCAGCUAGGUUAAUGGAAACCCUUCCUAGUUUGUCCCUUGUCUGGAAAGAGAGAAGAUGGGGAUGUGCUUUGGCAAUCCUGCAAGCAGGAGCACAGUCAAAAACAGUGAAAAACAGAAAAAAAAUAACUUAGAAUUACAAAAUUUGUAUUUAAGAUCCUCUUAUAGAGAAGAUCAUCUGAAGGCAUAGGUCUGGUACUGGUGGCGCUGGUGCAGUCAGCACUGUCAGUGUCAAUUCACAUCUGCUCCUGACACCUCUUAAAGCAAAUUGUCAGGGCUGAGAAGGGGCUGAAGCCACUGAUCUUGUGUAGCUACAAUGUGUUGGCACUUCAUUAAAGUAGUUUCCAGCCCGCUCCACUCUAUGUCUCAGACUACAAAUCUAUCAGGAUGCUAUUAACUGGUUUCCUGAGGACACUGAUCUCCGCUGUUCUGCAUAACUGGAUGCCCAAGAAGUCCAGUCAUGAAGAUCUAGAUAGCAUUAUCCAUCAUUUGAAUUGUGUCUCGUGGGUUGUAAAGUGGAUAUUAAAUGCUACUGUAAAGCUUUGGAUGAAAUGAGCUUUGAAUUGUGUAUUUAGUAAAUGUCUCUCUUCACUGUAGUUUUUCAUCCUUCUGAUUUCUGCCUUCUACAGUCCAUUAAAGCUUCUGAAGACACAUGGUGUGACAAAUAAAGACUGGAU